rnacentral:rRNA from 1 species
GACGAACGCUGGCGGCGUGCUUAACACAUGCAAGUCGAACGGUGAAGCGAGUGCUUGCACUCGUGGAUCAGUGGCGAACGGGUGAGUAACACGUGAGUAACCUGCCCAUCACUCUGGGAUAAGCACUGGAAACGGUGUCUAAUACUGGAUACGACCAACCCUUGCAUGGGGUGUUGGUGGAAAGAUUUAUCGGUGAUGGAUGGACUCGCGGCCUAUCAGCUUGUUGGCGGGGUAAUGGCCCACCAAGGCGACGACGGGUAGCCGGCCUGAGAGGGUGACCGGCCACACUGGGACUGAGACACGGCCCAGACUCCUACGGGAGGCAGCAGUGGGGAAUAUUGCACAAUGGGCGAAAGCCUGAUGCAGCGACGCCGCGUGAGGGAUGACGGCCUUCGGGUUGUAAACCUCUUUCAGCAGGGAAGAAGCGAAAGUGACGGUACCUGCGGAAGAAGCACCGGCUAACUACGUG